UUGAAUAAAUCUGGCGUGGUUGUAGCUGACUCUCCGGAGUAUGUGCUCGCCCCGUCACCUUUAUCUUUCCACCUGUGCACACACUGUAGUCCUGGAUACCUCUCGUCGAAAGGCGGAUACAGGGGUUGCCGUGCUUCCGCAAGGAGGUCGGCUCCCUCUGAAUUUCCAGGUCUAUGACCUCACACACACCCCAAACGAAUGUUACAGAAUGUUAAUCAAUGGGCCUUGUGCCUAUAAACCUAUA
rnacentral:misc_RNA from 1 species